AUUGAACGCUGGCGGCAUGCCUUACACAUGCAAGUCGAACGGUAACAGGCCGCAAGGUGCUGACGAGUGGCGAACGGGUGAGUAAUGCAUCGGAACGUGCCCAGUCGUGGGGGAUAACUGCUCGAAAGAGCAGCUAAUACCGCAUACGACCUGAGGGUGAAAGCGGGGGACCGUAAGGCCUCGCGCGAUUGGAGCGGCCGAUGUCAGAUUAGCUAGGUGGUGGGGUAAAGGCCUACCAAGGCAACGAUCUGUAGUUGGUCUGAGAGGACGACCAGCCACACUGGGACUGUGACACGGCCCAGACUCCUACGGGAGGCAGCAGUGGGGAAUUUUGGACAAUGGGCGCAAGCCUGAUCCAGCAAUGCCGCGUGCAGGAAGAAGGCCUUCGGGUUGUAAACUGCUUUUGUCAGGGAAGAAAUCUUCUGGGCUAAUACCCCGGGAGGAUGACGGUACCUGAAGAAUAAGCACCGGCUAACUACGUGCCAGCCGCCGCAGUAACAC
rnacentral:rRNA from 1 species